rnacentral:rRNA from 1 species
UGGGGAAUAUUUCACAAUGGGCGCAAGCCUGAUGCAGCAACGCCGCGUGAACGAUGAAGGUCUUCGGAUCGUAAAGUUCUGUUGCAGGGGAAGAUAAUGACGGUACCCUUUGAGGAAGCCCCGGCUAACUACGUGCCAGCAGCCGCGGUAAUACGUAGGGGGCUAGCGUUAUCCGGAUUUACUGGGCGUAAAUGGUGCGUAGGUGGUCUUUCAAGUCGGUGGUUAAAGGCUACGGCUCAACCGUAGUUAGCCUCCGAAACUGGAAGACUUGAGUGCAGGGGAGGAAAGUGGAAUUCCCAGUGUAGCGAUGAAAUGCGUAGAUAUUGGGAGGAACACCAGUAGCGAAGGCGGCUUUCUGGACUGCAACUGACACUGAGGAACGAAAGCGUGGGUAGCAAACGGG